UGGUUCUGGCAUCGAUGAAGAACGCAGCGAAAUGCGAUAAGUAAUGUGAAUUGCAGAAUUCAGUGAAUCAUCGAAUCUUUGAACGCACAUUGCGCCCGCCAGUAUUCUGGCGGGCAUGCCUGUUCGAGCGUCAUUUCAACCCUCAAGCCCCCGGGCUUGGUGUUGGGGACCGGCCCCUCGCCCCUCGGGGCAGGCCGCCCCCUAAAUACAGUGGCGGUCACGUCGCGGCGUCCUCUGCGUAGUAGCACACCUCGCAGCCGGAUCGCGGCGCGGCCACGCCGUAAAACCCCCAUCUUUCUGAAAUGUUGACCUCGGAUCAGGUAGGAAUACCCGCUGA
rnacentral:misc_RNA from 1 species